CGUAACAACUCGGCCAUCUCCGGCAAGCCUCGAGAAUGCGAGUUAUUAGAAAAUAGUCCAUUAUGGCCGACCAUGGAGAUGUUUAAACAACCAAGCGAAAUGUCAGACCAAAGACAGAAUGAGGGGCGAACUAUUACCACUUAUUUGUGUAGGGCAGUAUGGUACCAGUGGUGCGACCGGCUCUGAAUUCCUGGCUUGUUCUAAUGAAAAAUGGCAGAUGAGGCACUGGAAUGAAAUCAAAAAUGCCAUUGUACUGAGGAUUGUCCUGCAAUACAUGGAAAACAUGUAACACAACUGCAAAGCCAACCUAGAAGGGAAAAUAAGUGCAAGAUAGAAACAACGUGUUCAGUGGAACAACUUGUCAUCUCAAAUAUUUGAUGACUUACAUACUGAUGUGAAGUUGCAGAUAAUAGUAAACUGUUGGCCCGUGAUUAUUAAAUGCAAAAAGUAACAUUAAACCUUCCAUGCAUGAAGCAAUACAAUCCGAAGCUGGACAUUUACUUUACAACCUAGAAAGAGCCAGGCUCCUUAAUAAUGCUUGGUAGUGCUACCGAGUGAUAACCCUUUUGCAGUCAACUUUUUAAAAUAUAUUUCUCAAGAGUAUUUGAGUGGAUUUUACUUUUAAUCUGGACACAUAUUCUAUCACUGUGGAACUUUUUUAACAAUGGAAAGUGCAUAUAUAUAUAUAUAUUCAACUAUGUGGUAAAGGAUUUAUCUACGUUUAAAGUGGUCCUCCUAUGAAGAAGGGAAGAUAACUACAAAAACAGGAACAGAAACAGAUGGCAUUGGCAGACCAAAUAAAGCAGAACUAUUUUGUUUAGUUCAAUUUUAAAAACUUCAAAAAAUCCUUAAAUAGGGCACAUGUAUCCUUGGAAAUGCCAUAUUGUAAAUUGGGCUCUUUAAAAUGUGAGUGGUCUAGAGGAUAAGCCUAGUUGUCUGCCUCAAAUCCAAGGUUGUGGGUUCAAGCCCCACCAAGAUACUUUUUCAUGGCCUCAGAAACAGGAUGUCCUUACUAGUUUCUACUAAGGCAACAGACUUGAGUAAUUCUGUAAGCUUUCAGCUUUCUAGCAAUCUAGCUGAAAUGGUUAGAAAUAUAUAUAAAAUAAGAUACUAGCUGAAUUGCAAACAGUUUUUAGCUCGACUAUUCGAAGAAUAUGUACUCAACCAUCCAAUCUACUUAAAUAACCAAAUAAGAUAAUAACAUAGAAAUUCUGGUUAAGGUUUUGCAUGUGUAAUUACUUUUUAGUCAAUACCUCAGCGAAUACAUCAUGUAUUUACAUUGAAACUUUAAACACAGGCUCCCAACCAUUCAUUCUUCUUAAAUAAUCAAGUAAGAUAACUCUAUCUUGCAUAUUAUAUAAUUUUUGCCCCUUUAUUAUGCGACCUAGAAAUUCUGGUUAAGGUUUUGCAUGUUAGCACACAUAGGUUGAUAUCUCAGCAACUACUUGAUGUAUUGCAUUGAGACUUUAUACAAUGGUACUCAACCACCCAACCUACUUGAACAACCAAGUUAGAUAACUGUAUUUUGCAAAUAAUUGCCCUUUGUUAUUGGACUUAGAAUAUUAUUGUUUACAACCUAUAAUCAUUUAAUGUAUUGCAUGCUAUUUCCAUCAAGUCUGUAUUUCAUUAAUGGCUGAAUGUUUUUGAAUUUUAAACAAAUCUUUGCAGGCAUCAUUCUUAUCUAAUUUUACAGUGAUCCAUGCAUGUUUCGCCAAAACUUUUCAAUCCUUACACUGAAAAGCAGCUGAAUAGUCGAGCGCGCUGUCUCUGUGACAGCUCUUGUUUCCAUUUGUGUUGAUUUGUUUUUAUACCCCCACAAACAAAAUUUGAGGGGGUAUAUAGGAGUGAGCUUGUCGGUCGGUCUGUCUGUCUGUCGGUCGGUCGGUCUGUCGGUUUUCAUGGUUUCCGGACGAUAACUCAUGAAAGGCUAGACAGAUUUGAAAUUUUUUUGGUACACAGGUGUAACAUGUAUCAGAAGAUACAGGUCAAGUUCGAUAUUGGGGCUGGUGGGGCCAAGGUCAAGGUCAUUGUUACUAAAAAUAGAAAAACAGUUUCCGGACGAUAACUCAUGGAAGGCUUGACAGAUUUGAAAAUUUUUUGGAACACGGGUGUAUCAUCAGAAGAUACAGGUCAAGUUUGAUAUUGGGGCUGGUGGCGCCAAGGUCACUGUUACUAAAAAAAACGGUUUCCGGAUGAUAACUCAUGAAAGGCUAGACGGAUUUGAACAAUUUUUGGUGCACAUGUGUUACAUCAGAAGAUACAGAUCAAGUUAGUGAGCUUGUCGGUCGGUCGGUCGGUUGGUUUUCCUGGUUUCAGGAUGAUAACUCAUGAAAGGAUAGACAGAUUAAAAAAAAAUUUGGUACACAGGUGUCACAUCAGAAGAUACAGGUCAAGUUCGAUAUUGGGGCUGGUGGGGCCAAGGUCAAGGUCACUGUUACUAAAAAUAUUAAAACGGUUUCCAGACGAUUACUCAUGAAAGGCUUGACAGAUUUGAAAAUUUUUGGUACACAGGUGUAACAUCAGAAGAUACAGGUCAAGUUCGAUAUUGGGGCUGGUGGGGCCAAGGUCAAGGUCACUGUUACUUAAAAAAGAAAAACGGUUUCUGGACGAUAACUCAUGAAAGGCUAAACAGAUUUGAACAAUUUUUGGUACACAGGUGUAACAUCAGAAGAUACAGAUCAAGUUCGAUAUUGGGGCUGGUGGGGUCAAGGUCACUGUUACUAAAAAUAGAAAAAUGGUUUCCGGACGAUAACUCAUGAAAGGCUUGACAGAUUUGAACAUUUUUUGGUACACAGGUGUAACAUCAGAAGAUACAGGUCAAGUUCGAUAUUGGGGCUGGUGGGGCCAAGGUCAAGGUCACUGUUACUAAAAAUAUAAAAAUGGUUUCUGCUUCAUAACUUUAAUUGGGCAUGAGAUAUUGUGAUGAAACUUGCUGUAUAGGCAGCCUCUGUGAAGACAAUGCUUGUGAUUGAAAAUGGGGCCAGUGGAGUAAAGGUUUUUGUGCACUGUUACGAAAAUAGAAAAACGGACCAUCAUAUAUCAUGGGUGAUUUUAACACUGACAUUAACAAACAUACUCAAGCAUCCAGAGAUUUGAUCAACCUUGCUGGUCACUACGGCUUUUAUCAACUUGUCCAAAGUCCAACUCAUCGUAAAGGUGGUCUUCUAGAUCUUAUGUUUGCAAAACAAAACAUGCCAGAUACAAGUACUGACAUCAUUCCAACAUAUUACAGUGAUCAUUUUAUUGUAUCUAGUGUGAUACUGUCGAAUUCACUACAGUGAAAUCUGAAAAAGUUCAUCCUGUUGCUUAGAAACCAUUUGUGUUAAUAUAUGAAAUAAAAACCUGGUUUUUGGAAUUUCCAUGCUUAUGCCAUUGAUUACAAGCAUUAUUACUACAAUCAAGAAUUGUGUCAGUUUCAUCAGAAGUAUGGCAUAUAUGCCACAGUAGUGCUUACUACAAAUAUUGACCUGUCAGAUGGACUUGUUAAUUCGGCUACAGGAACAGUCUCGGGAUUUAUUCCCAGGUGGAUAAGGAUGCAUUCAAGCCCAAAUAUGUACUUGUAAAAUUUGAUGAUGAUCGUGUUGGAAGAAAAGCUCGUGAAUUCUCUAGAUGUCUUAUUCCAGAAGAGAUCAGCUAGAGCAUCAGCUAGUUUUUCUUGUCAGCAGUGUAACUUCUAAAUUACUCAACAGAUUUAAAUAAAACAAUACAUGCAUGAUAAAAGAAGAUGCAGUGUGCAGUAACCUUGGAGUUAUGGCCUCUUUUCAAAGGAAUGGUUUGCCAUUCCUGUGUCCAGGCGGCAUUUGGGGGUAUUCGUCACUCCUGUGACAGCUCUAGUUUAGUCUGUUGGAAUGUUUAUUAGAAGUGAUGAGCAUUGCUUACUGCAACUAAUAUUUAUUUUAUCUAUUAAGUUGACUUUAACGAACACAUAACAUGAAUUAUGAUUUUACAGAUACAGUUUUAUUUCAUUGAUUGUAUGGGGGUAUUUUCUAAAAUGAUGUAAUAAAAGUUAUUCUGAAUUUCAU